rnacentral:lncRNA from 1 species
CACAAAUUCCGGCUGAGUUUCGUCCCUGAGACGACCCUCGACUUGCUCAGUGCCACUGGGAAUGGUCUGAAAUAGCACUGCUGGGAUUCCAGCUGUUCUUGCCUCGGAAAAGGUCUCAAGAGGAUGGAUUAUCUUCCAGUGUGAGAAGAGCACUGUGGAACCAGUGGAGCUUUUCAGAACUCUACCUCAUAGAGGAGAUUAAGGAAAGGGAGACACAAUUCCAGUUCCUGUGCAGAGGAUAUGUCCCUUCACGGCUGGAGGAGAGCUGCACAAUGCUGCUG